rnacentral:rRNA from 1 species
UACAGAGGGUGCGAGCGUUGUUCGGAAUUAUUGGGCGUAAAGAGCUUGUAGGCGGUCUGUCGCGUCUGCUGUGAAAAAUCCGGGGCUCAACCCCGGGCUUGCAGUGGGUACGGGCAGACUAGAGUGUGGUAGGGGAGACUGGAAUUCCUGGUGUAGCGGUGAAAUGCGCAGAUAUCAGGAGGAACACCGAUGGCGAAGGCGGCAUCCUGGACCGACAUUGACGCUGAACGGCGAAAAGCUAGGGGAGCAAACGGG